rfam:Salmo salar isolate Sally breed double haploid chromosome ssa26, whole genome shotgun sequence.
UGGCUCAGUUGGUAGAGCAUGGUGCUUGCAAUGCUAUGGGUUUGGGUUCGACUCCCAC